rnacentral:rRNA from 1 species
GACGAACGCUGGCGGCGUGCUUAACACAUGCAAGUCGAACGGAAAGGCCCUGCUUUUGUGGGGUGCUCGAGUGGCGAACGGGUGAGUAACACGUGAGUAACCUGCCCUUGACUUUGGGAUAACCUCAGGAAACUGGGGCUAAUACCGGAUAGGAGCUCCUGCUGCAUGGUGGGGGUUGGAAAGUUUCGGCGGUUGGGGAUGGACUCGCGGCUUAUCAGCUUGUUGGUGGGGUAGUGGCUUACCAAGGCUUUGACGGGUAGCCGGCCUGAGAGGGUGACCGGCCACAUUGGGACUGAGAUACGGCCCAGACUCCUACGGGAGGCAGCAGUGGGGAAUAUUGCACAAUGGGCGGAAGCCUGAUGCAGCAACGCCGCGUGCGGGAUGACGGCCUUCGGGUUGUAAACCGCUUUCGCCUGUGACGAAGCGUGAGUGACGGUAAUGGGUAAAGAAGCACCGGCUAACUACGUGCCAGCAGCCGCGGUGAUACGUAGGGUGCGAGCGUUGUCCGGAUUUAUUGGGCGUAAAGGGCUCGUAGGUGGUUGAUCGCGUCGGAAGUGUAAUCUUGGGGCUUAACCCUGAGCGUGCUUUCGAUACGGGUUGACUUGAGGAAGGUAGGGGAGAAUGGAAUUCCUGGUGGAGCGGUGGAAUGCGCAGAUAUCAGGAGGAACACCAGUGGCGAAGGCGGUUCUCUGGGCCUUUCCUGACGCUGAGGAGCGAAAGCGUGGGGAGCGAACAGGCUUAGAUACCCUGGUAGUCCACACUGUAAACGGUGGGUACUAGGUGUGGGGUCCAUUCCACGGGUUCCGUGCCGUAGCUAACGCUUUAAGUACCCCGCCUGGGGAGUACGGCCGCAAGGCUAAAACUCAAAGGAAUUGACGGGGCCCCGCACAAGCGGCGGAGCAUGCGGAUUAAUUCGAUGCAACGCGUAGAACCUUACCUGGGUUUGACAUGGAUCGGGAGUGCUCAGAGAUGGGUGUGCCUCUUUUGGGGUCGGUUCACAGGUGGUGCAUGGCUGUCGUCAGCUCGUGUCGUGAGAUGUUGGGUUAAGUCCCGCAACGAGCGCAACCCUUGUUCACUGUUGCCAGCACGUUAUGGUGGGGACUCAGUGGAGACCGCCGGGGUCAACUCGGAGGAAGGUGGGGAUGACGUCAAGUCAUCAUGCCCCUUAUGUCCAGGGCUUCACGCAUGCUACAAUGGCUGGUACAGAGAGUGGCGAGCCUGUGAGGGUGAGCGAAUCUCGGAAAGCCGGUCUCAGUUCGGAUUGGGGUCUGCAACUCGACCCCAUGAAGUCGGAGUCGCUAGUAAUCGCAGAUCAGCAACGCUGCGGUGAAUACGUUCCCGGG